UCCCCAUGUGCUCUUCUUGGCGCCUGUGGUCCUGUUCUUGCUAGCAUGUUAGCCUGGUUAGUUAGGCAAAAUGUCUCUUUCUACUUUACAAUUGACUCAGAAAACAGGCAAUUCAACAAUGAAUGGACAUAGAAGUAUUUGUUUAUAUCUCUCUGUGCGAGGCCCAUGUGUUUACUCUGCAACAAGUGCAUCCGUGUAAAGAAUAUAACUUGAGAAGGCAUUUUCAGGCAACCCAUGCUAACUUCAGGGGCUAACCUCAUGUUAUGAGCAAAGACAUCACUACCUGUUUUGGGCUUUUACAGAAGAAGAGAGAGCUACAUCAGCAUCACUAUGUGUAGCAUGGAUAUUAGGCAAAAAGAGUGUGUAGAGUAUAUGCUUGCAUCAAUCAAGGGGUGGUUACAGAUGAGAAAACCUGCAACAGCUUGAUUGAUUCGAUCAAGAAAAUUCCAUUAUUAUAUAUAAUUUCAACCACAAGGAGAGUAGAGGCACUUGCAUCGGAAAUCUUCAAGACUCUUUUGGACAAACUGAGGAAGGCAGAGGUGAUGAAUAAACUGACAACAGCGAUGUAGCACAGCUGUGCCUCUAUGUUAGAUUCUUUGAUGGCAAAUGCUUUCGGGAGGAUGUUCUUGGACUAAUUCCUUUGGACAGACACACGACUGAUGAGAUAAUAUCAAAUUAAGCUGUCUCAUUCUUUGAGGAGAACAAGUUGGAUUUGGAACGUAUUAACAUGCUGGUAACGGAUGGUGUGCCCGUGAUGGUUGGAGGGGAUUGGCAGUUGUGGCUCCACAGCUGAGAUCACCACAUUGCCUUAUCUACCAAAGCCUCUUGUGUGCCAAACUAAGUGAGAUGAUGACUUCUCAGUAGCUGGAGUUGAGGAGUUGGACAACAACAGCACUUAGGAGACAACUAUUCAGUAAUUGGAUGCAAGGUAUGGUAAUUGUAGUGACAUUUUUUUGUUCAAAUUAUUUCCAAAGUACAAAUUUGAAAUUAAGUCUUGGUCCCUGCAUUACCUCAGCAACAUGUGGUGAUGUAACAUGAUGUAACAUACUGCUCUCUGGCAACAACUAUGCAGAGAUAUAUCAUUCCUAUUCAAAUUCAUGAAUAUGGGCAUGGUGGAGAGGUUUUCUUUCUUCAGGAUCCAGGACUCCUACUGUGUGGACACUAUAAAGGACUUCCGGAAUGAAAAGAGAGCUGAAAUCAUCACCCAGCUUCAGACCAAAGGCUGAUUUAUGGAAUAUCGCUCAACACUUUUGAUAAGCAUUUUCAAUUUAUGCUCAGGAAAAAGGUGUCAGGUCAUCUCCAUGGUAACCAGGCACCAUCCUCCAGUCAGUUGGUUUAGUUACGUUAUAUCAUCCUGACUGCUUAAACAAGGACGUUGUAAGUUAUCUAAAGUUACAGACCAAAAUAUCAAUAAGGAAAUUCAGUGAAAACUACAUUCUCCAUGGUGACAUUAGUAACACUACCCAGUCACAUUGUGUGACAAAAUAUACGGUGUCCACGACAUAAUAAAAUUCUCUAGGUGUGCGACAUGAAAGGAAAGUGACACAGCGACACUUUUUUCUGGCAAAAAUACGUCACUUAUCAAAAGUGUCGAGCGACCAACCAUAAAUCAGACUUAAAGGGCCUGUUGUUACCCUGGGAGAUGCUCAGAUACACAGUCCUGUGUUCUGUGUGCAAUAUUGCACAUACACUGCCAUGGACAAUGAGUCCAAAUAGAUCAUCUCCAUGGUCAGCACUGACAAGCAAAAGACACUGAGGAACUUCUUGUCAUGGAGAAGGAGGGCCUCAUGCGUACCUUUUGAGACGCUCUGUCAAAAUUUGCACAGAUGCUCAUACCCAAAUAUCAGCACUCUUCAACAAAUGGAAAUGCAAAGACAGUGAAGUCCACCACACCCUGGACAUCUGGCAAAGGCAGGGCAGCAAAAGGGGCGCUCCAUUCUACAGAUGUGGAAUAAAGACAUCUGCAACCACUUCUGGCUUUGCUGUGAGACUGCAGAUAACUAUGAAGAGUUAUGAAGUAUUACAGAAAUUUAUCUUUUGUAAUGUUUCUCUUCAGUGUUGAUAUUUAGACACCAAGCCAAAAAGAUUAUUGAAGCUUUUAUUUGAAUUCAGUCAGUCCCUCAUCCCUCACUAUGAUUUAUAGAGUAAUGUAAUUACUGAUGUACUAGGCCUUUAGUGUACGCCUCAGUGUCAAAUGCUGUAUUUAUGUGACUAGUCGUACCAAAAGGUUUCAUAUAAAAUAAUGCUUUGGACAAAAUAUUACUUUAAAAACCUCAAAUGAAAAUGCUUGGUAGACCUUGGCCAACGGGUUGGACCCUUUUGCUGACUCGUGAUCGUGCUCACCUGUGAUUUGUGCAAACUGGGUUUGAUUUCUUGCUGCCCUCAGAAUUCACAGGACAUGUGGAUUGGAGUCCUGCACCACGUCACAGGAGAGCAUGUGUGGGCCCUUGGUGCCUGUCGCUAUGGCCCCUUGGUGGAAAUCAGAGAAAAGGAGUGGACUCAGAAGGGCACACUGGAGACUGAAAGAACUUAUUCUUGAUGCACACUGGCUAAAGGACGUCCACAAGCAUCUGCUUUUAAUGUAUAUAUCAGCAUAGGUCUAUGUUAAACUCACUACAUAGGUCUAUGUUCCACGUACUGUUUUCCCCUAUGUAAAUAUUUCACUGCAAUUUUGAUUUGAUGUUGCUAUGCCUUGAAUCAUGUAACCAGAACAGAAAUCAAUUGUAUAUUGUUUCCACUGUGCUCUCAAGUCAACUGCAGGAUUGGAGUCCUUCCACAAUCACAUACUUAUGUGGGCAAGCAAGCGCUUCAACCUCUCCCCACCUGUAUAUGCAGCUUAGACCAUGGCGGCUGGCCUGGACUACAAUCAUCACAUUCACAGACCAGCCAAGAAAAAAGCUGAUGGCUCAAUUCAGGUAAUAAGAACGUUGUACAACAAGAAGUCCGAGAAGUAGAGCCUGUACACACUGAAGGUGGAGAAGGACAACAGCUACAUCGCAGACCUCCCAAACGCUAUCCUGCAGCAAAGGUUGUUUGCUACUGAGGGGAUGCCAUGGAGCAGAGUCAGGAGGCCUGAUGUGUUCUGAGGUGUCCCUGCCCCAGCCACCCAGGAGCUAUUGCAGAUGCAAGUCAGCAGAGGGCUAGGCUCAUGGUCCAGUCCCUGCAGAGUAACACCCCCCCCUGUAGGAUCAAGGAAGGACUUCAACAUGGAGACCUCAAACACCUGGCUGCAUUUCGUCAGGGUUGUUGAGUGUCAACUGACUCCCCUGUGGGUUGCUGUUCCCUGCCAGGCAGAUCAUGGGACAGUGCAGGUGGCCUACUAAAACACUGGGAGCCUUGUUUGUAAAAGACAGGCUACAAGGUAGAUAGCCCGUACGGGCUGUGCUGCACUUCAACCCAGAACAGGCUGUGAAGAUGACUGCGCAUUAACUCAACAAUGGAAACCGUAAAUGGAAAUGUCAUAACCAUGAUUAUAGCAAUUCUGCUGUUGGCUUUGCUGAUGAAAAAAUAGCUCAGUAUUAGUGGCGACUUGGGAAGGAAGAGUAUCUUACUCAGACUAUAGUGUUUUCAUUAUGUUCCACUUCUGUAUCUCUGCACGUUUAAGAUUGGGAUGAGAUGGUAAACAGGACAUCUGUCAUCGUGAUAAUCUCGUUUUGCUUGAAUGCUCUGUUAGUGAAGUCUAGAGGCUGUAAAUCAAAGUAAUUUUUCUAUUAAUUCCAAACAACGCACUGUUGUUUCUGCUGAAAAUGUAAAAUGCAGUACAUCCCUUGUGCAAGGGGAAAGCCCUUCCUUGGAAAGUCCAACUAAAAAUAUAAAAGCAUUCAUUAACAGUUUGUAUGUUGAAUCAAUUGGCAAUGCAGUGAAGAAAUGAGACUAUAGAGCCAUGCUAGCAGCUCUGUAAGGCUGU